rnacentral:lncRNA from 7 species
CCUUCCAGACUUUGCCUUGCAGCCAUCAGACAUACCAACUCUGGCCUCCCCACUGCAAAACCCAACUUGGAUACAGGGAGGAAGCAUUGCUGCCUGGCAUGCUUUUGCAGAGUAUAAUUAGGAGCAUGCAAAGGAAGCUCGUCAAAGGAUACCUUCUCCACCAGGUACCUUCAGCCACAGAUGUGCAGCGGGGCACCUGCUUGGCAGGACGGGGAGCUUGGAGGGCAAAGGCAUGCAGCACAUGGAUGUUGUUCCUGCCCGUUUCACCAAGAACUGCUGCAAUGGCUGACUGAUAAUCCUGUGGCGAAUAUUUGAAGAUGUGUUUUCUUCUGGUUUGGAACAUCUCCCAUCUAUUUGCAAGAUCUGCUCAUGAACUAUAAAUUCCUCCCCGCUCCCCAAAAUGCUAUUCCUGAGAACUCCAUUUCAAACACAAUUUAUGGCUUGGAUGAAAAACAGAGAUGUCUUUGAAUCGUUCUAUUUUUGCAUGGCGUUUCAACAUGUGUUAGCAGCACUGGGCAACACAUAAUGGGACAUUGUAGGCUUACUGAGAUGCUGUGUCCCAGUGGAAAACAGUUCAGAUGAAGGUAUGCUGACCACGCCUGUAAUAACACACUUUGUCAAGCACUUUCAGAUCUCCUAGUGAAAAAUAUCACUUUAUAGAAGAUUGGUAUUAAUAACCAUAAUGAUUAUUUGGUUGUUCAGCUCCAAGAAGUUUCUGUAGUCCUCUUAACUCAGGAUUUAUUGCACUGUGAUUUAUGGGUCUCAGGAUUGGUUAUAAAUACCGUCUAGUCGGUGAUUCUUCCACAUCUGUGCAACACAUCUGAGCCAGGAAGCAGUUCUCAGAGUUCUGAUUAACUACCCCUCAGCAGACCGUGAAGCCAAACCUUUUAAAGUUUUAAAGAAAAGGAAUUCAAAUGGAUUUUCUGGAUUUGGGCUCAUCAUUUGAGCCUGCCUAAGACAACCCGUGUGAAGGGCAGUACAGAAGGAUAGCUGGUGGGAUUGGUUUCGCCAGCUGAGAUCUCAGCUGUCACUUGCGGCACCUGGGAAGAGUAAUCAGCUUGGGGCACAUUUCCUGGCUUGUCUGAGUGGUUCUCACGGACAUCUUUUAACCAUUCCAUACCAAGAGUAGAUUUUGUCUCCAGAUGCUUUUCACAGUUGGCCGUCACAAGGAAGUUAAAUAUUGGCUGAGGUCGUAGUGCCCUGCAGGAACCAUUUUGGGGGCUAUCUAUGCUUAUUGGGCUCGGCUCCACGAGUUACUAGGCUCUUCUAGGCUGGAACAAAUUGAAUAUAAUAAAGACAACGCAGAUGGAUGGCUGACUUGUGUUUACAGCUGUAGGGAGUUUUCUUAUUCUAUUAAGUUUUCAGCUGAAGUUUUGUCUGAGUCAAACUUAAGAUGUGAGUGAAUCAAGAUAGGGCUUCAACUCCGGAUUGAAACUUGUAUCUGGAAAUUGGAGUCAAGCCCCCUGUGAUCCUGGGUGCACUCUUCAAGUGAGGUAGACUUCAUCUCUGCUUGCAAAUGAAGGUCUGCACCAACUGUAGGCUUUGGCACGAGCUGGUCUAGAGGCAGGAUAGGGGGAGUUCAUAGGUAAAAACAAAAAAUAAAAUGGUUUAAGAUGUUUUUCAGUCAAAUUGAGGUAGAAUAUGGUUUGAGGUUUGAGAGAUGUUUUUGUUGGGGAUGAGGAGAGACAAUGUUAAUGAAAGUAACCUCUUUUGAAAAACAGGAAAGCAAAUCUGAAUAAAAGGUUUUGGAUCAACUGAGAACACCUCACCAAACUUAAAAAUUGCCAUGUCCUUUUCAUUGCUUUGUUAUUUCAGCCUUUUUUUUAACUUCGUAAAAUCUAUGCCAGUUUUAUUUUUGGAAGUCCAGGAAAAAAUAAGCAGUUUUGAAAGCACAUUUUUUUCAUGGUUUUUUUUUCUUUUUCUACUUCUAUAGAAAAAAAUGUUAGCCAAAUUUAAAAAAAAAGCUCGUAUUAUGAGUGGCUUCCUCCUGAAACUUAAUUUUCCCCCAAAGUUUAUACUUUUACACAUUCAUCCAAAUAUUAAAAGAGAAAAAAAAAUAACACCAAAUAAAAAAUAAACUUUUG